rnacentral:tRNA from 1 species
GCUCCGGUAGCUCAGCUGGAUAGAGCAUCGGAUUUCUAAUCCGACGGUCGGGGGUUCGAGUCCCCCCCGGAGUGCCA